rnacentral:rRNA from 1 species
GAUGAACGCUGGCGGCGUGCCUAAUACAUGCAAGUCGAGCGAAAAGACGCGGAGCUUGCUCCUCUCACGAUAGCGGCGGACGGGUGUGUAACACGUGGAUAACCCACCUAUCAUACUGGGAUAACUUCGGGAAACCGGCGAUAAUCCCGGAUAAUAUAUUGAACCGCAUGGUUCAAUAGUGAAUGACGGCUUUGCUGUAUCUACUAGCUGGUUCUGCGCUGCUUUAGCUAGUUGGUAAGGUAACGGCUUACCAAGGCGACGAUGCGUGGCCGACCUACGAGGGUGAUCGGCCGCACUAGAACGUGAACACGGUCCAGACUCCUACGGGAGGCAGCAGUAGGGAAUCUUCCGCAGUGGGCGAAAGCCUGACGGAGCAACGCCGCGUGAGUGAUGAAAGUCUUCGGAUCGUAAUGCUCUGUUAUUAGGGAAGAACAAAUGUGGAAGUAACUAUGCACGUCGUGACGGUACCUAAUCAGAAAGCCACGGCUAACUACGUG